rnacentral:rRNA from 1 species
CCUACGGGAGGCAGCAGUGGGGAAUAUUGGGCAAUGGGCGCAAGCCUGACCCAGCAACGUCGCGUGAAGGAAGAAGGCUCUCGGGUUGUAAACUUCCUUUCUCAGGGACGAAGAAUGCGACGGUUCCUGAGUAAUAAGCUACCGCUAUGUACGUGACAGCAGUCGUGGCAAUCCGUAGGCGGCAGGCGUUAUCCGGAUUCAGUGGGUGUAAAGGGCGUGUAGGCGGGGAAGCAAGUUAGAUGUGAAAUCCACGGGCUCAGCCUGGGGCCUGGGUUUGAAACUGUUUUUCUUGAGUGCUGGGGAGGCAGACGGAAUUCCUGGUGUAGCGGUGAAAUGCGUAGAUAUUAGGAGGAACACCAAUGGCGAAGGCGGUCUACUGGACAGCAACUGACGCUGAGGCGCGAAAGCGUGGGGAGCGAACAGGAUUAGAUACCCUUGUAGUC